rnacentral:rRNA from 1 species
AUUGAACGCUGGCGGCAGGCUUAACACAUGCAAGUCGAACGGUAACGGGAAGAAAGCUUGCUUUCUUUGCUGACGAGUGGCGGACGGGUGAGUAAUGCUUGGGAAUCUGUUUCAUGGAGGGGGAUAACUACGGGAAACUGUAGCUAAUACCGCGUAAUAUCGAGAGAUUAAAUGUGUGGGACCGCAAGGCCACAUGCCAUGAAGUGAGCCCAAGUGGGAUUAGAUAGUUGGUGAGGUAAUGGCUCACCAAGUCGGCGAUCUCUAGCUGGUCUGAGAGGAUGACCAGCCACACUGGGACUGAGACACGGCCCAGACUCCUACGGGAGGCAGCAGUGGGGAAUAUUGCACAAUGGGCGCAAGCCUGAUGCAGCCAUGCCGCGUGAAUGAAGAAGGCCUUCGGGUUGUAAAGUUCUUUCGGUGGUGAGGAAGGUUGAUACGUUAAUAGCGUAUUGAUUUGACGUUAGCCACAGAAGAAGCACCGGCUAACUCCGUGCCAGCAGCCGCGGUAAUACGGAGGGUGCGAGCGUUAAUCGGAAUAACUGGGCGUAAAGGGCACGCAGGCGGUGACUUAAGUGAGGUGUGAAAGCCCUGGGCUUAACCUAGGAAUUGCAUUUCAUACUGGGUCGCUAGAGUAUUUUAGGGAGGGGUAGAAUUCCACGUGUAGCGGUGAAAUGCGUAGAGAUGUGGAGGAAUACCGAAGGCGAAGGCAGCCCCUUGGGAAUAUACUGACGCUCAUGUGCGAAAGCGUGGGGAGCAAACAGG